GAUGGAAGCUGGAAUUGUGGAGGUAGCUGUACCUGUCUGUGGGUUUUCUGUACACAGUCUUCAUUAAUCUGCGUACAGAAAACCCACAGACAGGUACAGCUACCUCCACAAUUCCA